rnacentral:rRNA from 1 species
UUUGAUGGCGACCGGCGCACGGGUGAGUAACACGUAUCCAACCUGCCGAUGACUCGGGGAUAGCCUUUCGAAAGAAAGAUUAAUACCCGAUGGCAUAGUUCUUCCGCAUGGUGGAACUAUUAAAGAAUUUCGGUCAUCGAUGGGGAUGCGUUCCAUUAGGUUGUUGGCGGGGUAACGGCCCACCAAGCCUUCGAUGGAUAGGGGUUCUGAGAGGAAGGUCCCCCACAUUGGAACUGAGACACGGUCCAAACUCCUACGGGAGGCAGCAUG